AUUGAACGCUGGCGGCAUGCUUUACACAUGCAAGUCGAACGGCAGCGCGGGCUUCGGCCUGGCGGCGAGUGGCGAACGGGUGAGUAAUGCAUCGGAACGUGCCCAGUAGUGGGGGAUAGCCCGGCGAAAGCCGGAUUAAUACCGCAUACGACCUGAGGGUGAAAGCGGGGGACCGAAAGGCCUCGCGCUAUUGGAGCGGCCGAUGUCGGAUUAGCUAGUUGGUGGGGUAAAGGCUUACCAAGGCGACGAUCCGUAGCUGGUCUGAGAGGACGACCAGCCACGUGGGAAAGGGACAAGGGCCCAGCCUCAGAGGGGAGGAGGAGGGGGGAAUUUGGGAAAAAGGGGGAAAACCGUGACCCAGCAAGGCCGGGGGGGGAAAGAGGGCGUGGGGGUGGAAAGGGGUUUUUGUGGGAGAAAAAACCCUGGGGGCUAAAACCGGGGGGGGAGAAGGGACCGGAAAAAAAAAACACCGAAAAACUAGGUG
rnacentral:rRNA from 1 species